GUCCAGACUCCUACGGGAGGCAGCAGUGGGGAAUAUUGCACAAUGGGGGGAACCCUGAUGCAGCAACGCCGCGUGAGUGAAGAAGUAUUUCGGUAUGUAAAGCUCUAUCAGCAGGAAAGAAAAUGACGGUACCUGACUAAGAAGCCCCGGCUAACUACGUGCCAGCAGCCGCGGUAAUACGUAGGGGGCAAGCGUUAUCCGGAUUUACUGGGUGUAAAGGGAGCGUAGACGGCAGUGCAAGUCCGGAGUGAAAGCCCGGGGCUCAACCCUGGGACUGCUCUGGAAACUGUAAAGCUGGAGUGCGGGAGGGGCAGGCGGAAUUCCUGGUGUAGCGGUGAAAUGCGUAGAUAUCAGGAGGAACACCGGCGGCGAAGGCGGCCUGCUGGACCGUAACUGACGUUGAGGCUCGAAAGCGUGGGGAGCAAACAGGAUUAGAUACCCCGGUACC
rnacentral:rRNA from 1 species